rnacentral:tRNA from 1 species
UGUUCCAUGGUGUAAUGGUUAGCACUCCAGACUUUGAAUCUGGCGAUCCGAGUUCAAGUCUUGAUGGAACCU